rnacentral:tRNA from 1 species
GAGGGUAUAGCUCAGUGGUAGAGCACAGGCUGAGCAGGCAUGAGGUCCUGGGUUCAAUCCUCAGUGCCUCCA